rnacentral:rRNA from 1 species
UGGGGAAUAUUGCACAAUGGGCGAAAGCCUGAUGCAGCAACGCCGCGUGAGUGAUGAAGGCCUUCGGGUUGUAAAGCUCUGUCUUUUGGGACGAUAAAUGACGGUACCAAAGGAGGAAGCCACGGCUAACUACGUGCCAGCAGCCGCGGUAAUACGUAGGUGGCAAGCGUUGUCCGGAUUUACUGGGCGUAAAGGAUGCGUAGGCGGAUUUUUAAGUGAGAUGUGAAAACCCUAAGCUUAACUUGGGACUGCAUUUCAUACUGGAAAUCUAGAGUGCGGGAGAGGAGAAUGGAAUUGCCUAGUGUAGCGGUGAAAUGCGUAGAGAUUAGGAAGAACACCAGUGGCGAAGGCGAUUCUCUGGACCGUAACUGACGCUG